CAUUUCACUAUCUGAAGAGCAGAAAAUGUGUUAAUAGGAGCCUGGUGAGUGGAGGAGACUGAAGAUGGAGAGAGAGCCUGGACCUCAACAUGAGCAUCUGGAGCCAUUUGGCAGCAUUAGGCUGUGACCGCUUAGAGAACCGAAAGAAACACCACCUGGAACACAGCUGUGACUUGAUAAACAAGUGAAACAUUCUUUGGUGUGGUGAGGGGAAAACAAAUUUCUCAAAGGACACGCACCAUGGUGUAUGAGAGGACACUGGAGCCCAGCCAGCAUCUGACAUGCUGAAUUCAAAGUGCAGGUGAAAGUAGGACAACUGAUUCACAAGCUGGGAUGCCUGUGUUGUUGUUUGCCAGUGUGCGUGUGUGUGUUUUCCUGGCACCCUUCAUUCAUUCCCCAGCACAGUUGACAUCAGGUUGGAAGCAGUGAGUUCUGAGGGAGACUGCUAGAGGACCCAACUUGGAGAAUCAACGAUCUGCGAUGAAGAUAAUGAAGAUAAAGACAAUGUCAAUGUCAGCGUCCAAAAUCAUAAGGACCCUUU
rnacentral:lncRNA from 1 species